AACGAACGCUGGCGGCAGGCUUAACACAUGCAAGUCGAACGCCCCGCAAGGGGAGUGGCAGACGGGUGAGUAACGCGUGGGAACGUGCCCUUCGCUUCGGAAUAGCCCCGGGAAACUGGGAGUAAUACCGAAUACGCCGUAUUGGGAAAGAUUUAUCGGCGAAGGAUCGGCCCGCGUUAGAUUAGCUAGUUGGCGGUGUAAUGGACCACCAAGGCUACGAUCUAUAGCUGGCCUGAGAGGAUGAUCAGCCACACUGGGACUGAGACACGGCCCAGACUCCUACGGGAGGCAGCAGUGGGGAAUUUUGGACAAUGGGCGCAAGCCUGAUCCAGCCAUGCCGCGUGAGUGAAGAAGGCCUUAGGGUUGUAAAACUCUUUCGCCGGAGAAGAUAAUGACGGUAUCCGGAGAAGAAGCCCCGGCUAACUUCGUGCCAGCAGCCGCCGUAAUAC
rnacentral:rRNA from 1 species